UACGUAGGGGGCAAGCGUUGUCCGGAAUCAUUGGGCGUAAAGCGCGUGUAGGCGGUUCGGUAAGUCUGCUGUGAAAGUCCAGGGCUCAACCCCUGGGAUGCCGGUGGAUACUGUCGGACUAGAGUACGGAAGAGGCGAGUGGAAUUCCCGGUGUAGCGGUGAAAUGGCGCAGAUAUCGGGAGGAACACCAAUUGCGAAGGCAGCUCGCUGGGACGUUACUGACGCUGAGACGGCGAAAGCGUGGGGAGCAAACAGGA
rnacentral:rRNA from 1 species